UACGGAGGGGGCUAGCGUUGUUCGGAAUUACUGGGCGUAAAGCGCACGUAGGCGGCUUUGUAAGUUAGAGGUGAAAGCCCGGGGCUCAACUCCGGAAUUGCCCUUAAGACUGCAUCGCUAGAAUUGUGGAGAGGUAAGUGGAAUUCCGAGUGUAGAGGUGAAAUUCGUAGAUAUUCGGAAGAACACCAGUGGCGAAGGCGACUUACUGGACAAAUAUUGACGCUGAGGUGCGAAAGCGUGGGGAGCAAACAGG
rnacentral:rRNA from 1 species